GAAAUAUUCAUUGGUAUUUAGCUGUUCUCGACCCAAAAAAAAAGUGAUACAUGUACUUGAUUCUCUCUGUGAGGACUUCGAUCGUGUUGACCUCCAUAUAGCGAUACAAGGAGUACAAAAACAUCUUGAUAUCAUUACACGGCGGCAGGACUUACCUAGCCAUGAAUGGAUAGAUCUAAAUGUCGUGACAUGGCCGAUCAUAGAACAAUUACAAGU